CACAUGCAAGUCGAGGGGCAGCAUGAAUCAAGCUUGCUCGAUUGGAUGGCGACCGGCGCACGGGUGCGUAACACGUAUCCAAUCUACCCAUGGCUCAGGGAUAGCCUUUCGAAAGAAAGAUUAAUACCUGAUGGUUUCAUGAGCCCGCAUGGACUUAUGAAUAAAGAUUUAUCGGCGAUGGAUGAGGAUGCGUCCGAUUAGAUAGUAGGCGGGUAACGGCCCACCUAGUCGACGAUCGGUAGGGGCUCUGAGAGGAGGAUCCCCCACAUUGGAACUGAGACACGGUCCAAACUCCUACGGGAGGCAGCAGUGAGGAAUAUUGGUCAAUGGGCGAGAGCCUGAACCAGCCAAGUAGCGUGAGGGAUGACUGCCCUAUGGGUUGUAAACCUCUUUUGUUUGGGAAUAAAGUGAGCCACGUGUGGCUUUUUGUAUGUACCUUACGAAUAAGCAUCGGCUAAUUCCGUGCCAGCCGCGGC
rnacentral:rRNA from 1 species